ACUCAAAGGAAUUGACGGGGGCCCGCACAAGCGGCGGAGCAUGCGGAUUAAUUCGAUGCAACGCGAAGAACCUUACCUGGGUUUGACAUGCGCCCCGACGCGGCGGAGACGCCGCGGCCUUCGGGGGGGCGCACAGGUGGUGCAUGGCUGUCGUCAGCUCGUGUCGUGAGAUGUUGGGUUAAGUCCCGCAACGAGCGCAACCCUCGUUCCAUGUUGCCAGCGGCUCGGCCGGGGACUCAUGGGAGACCGCCGGGGUCAACUCGGAGGAAGGUGGGGAUGACGUCAAGUCAUCAUGCCCCUUAUGUCCAGGGCUUCACGCAUGCUACAAUGGCCGGUACAAUGGGCGGCGAUGCCGCGAGGCGGAGCGAAUCCCAAAAAGCCGGUCUCAGUUCGGAUCGGGGUCUGCAACUCGACCCCGUGAAGUCGGAGUCGCUAGUAAUCGCAGAUCAGCAGCGCUGCGGUGAAUACGUUCCCGGGCCUUGCACACACCGCCCGU
rnacentral:rRNA from 1 species